rnacentral:rRNA from 1 species
UACGUAGGGGGCAAGCGUUGUCCGGAAUCAUUGGGCGUAAAGCGCGUGUAGGCGGUUCAGUAAGUCUGCUGUGAAAGUCCAGGCUCAACCCUGGGAUGCCGGUGGAUACUGCUGGGCUAGAGUACGGAAGAGGCGAGUGGAAUUCCCGGUGUAGCGGUGAAAUGCGCAGAUAUCGGGAGGAACACCGGUGGCGAAGGCGGGUCUCUGGGCCGAAAUUGACGCUGAGGAGCGAAAGCGUGGGGAGCAAACAGG